rnacentral:misc_RNA from 1 species
UUUGAACGGCUAGUUGCAAAGACAACUCAAUUGGAAGGUGAAAAAAUGCAGAAAGAGGCAGAAGUUCAAAAACUUAUGGAAGAGAAUGUGAGGCUGAGUGCUCUUCUGGACAAGAAGGAGGCUCAACUUCUGGCCAUGAAUGAACAGUGCAAGGUAAUGGCGCUGAAUGCUUCAAAUUUAUGAUUUGUUGGGCUAUCUUAUUCGACCUUCUGGUGACGGUUGAUUCAUUCAAGCCGAAUUGUGAAUCCACCAGAGAAGAGUCGGGAAUUGAGUAAUACUGAAUUGUGGAGUAUCUUCAAUCAUUUUGCAAAUUUUUAACAUUGUGAAGAGCUAAAUGAACAUGUUUAUUAGUACCAUUCUUGUGCUGUUGGAAAACUCGAG